rnacentral:tRNA from 1 species
GCCCGGGUAGCCUAGCCAGGUAAGGCGCCUGCCUCGAGAGCAGGUGGGCUCACGCCCUCGCA